rnacentral:rRNA from 1 species
UGUAAGCGUAUACCAAAGUUGUUGCAGUUAAAACGCUCGUAGUCGGAAUUUGGCAGUUCCGGAUGUGUGCACGUCGUGUGCGCACUUCGCGGGGAUUGCUUUUGUGGUCUUGCGUAGGAUGAGGCACUUUUAUUAGUGAACGUCCUCACGCAACCACUUUUUACUGUGAGAAAAUCAGAAUGCUCAAAGCAGGCAUUUGCCGUGAAUGUAUUAGCAUGGAAUAAUAGAAUAGGACUCGGUUCUAUUUUGUUGGUUUGUUGGGACUGAGUAAUGAUUAAGAGGGACAGUUGGGGGCAUUUGUAUUUCGGCGCUAGAGGUGAAAUUCUUAGAUUGCCGAAAGACAAACUGCUGCGAAAGCGUCUGCCAAGGAUGUUUUCAUUGA